rnacentral:pre_miRNA from 1 species
AUGGGUAGAAAGUGCUUUUUUACAAUCAGAUGCCCUUAGGACAUCCUUUUUUGUUUGUAAAUGCAUUUUCUGGCCCGUAA